rnacentral:rRNA from 1 species
UACGUAGGGUGCGAGCGUUAAUCGGAAUUACUGGGCGUAAAGCGUGCGCAGGCGGUUUUGUAAGCCAGAUGUGAAAGCCCCGGGCUCAACCUGGGAAUGGCAUUUGGGACUGCAAGGCUGGAGUUUGGCAGGGGAGACUGGAAUUCCUGGUGUAGCAGUGAAAUGCGUAGAUAUCAGGAGGAAUACCGAUGGCGAAGGCAGGUCUCUGGGCUAUAACUGACGCUCAUGCACGAAAGCGUGGGGAGCAAACAGG